UUACUUUGGCAGUAAUUAUACUAAAUUGAAAUGAUACAGAAAUUAGCAUGUCUCUUGCACAAGGAUGACCUGCAUAUCUCUGAAGCACUCAAUAUUUUU
rnacentral:snRNA from 1 species